CGGCAGGCCUAACACAUGCAAGUCGAACGGACCCUUCGGGGUUAGUGGCGGACAGGUGAGUAACACGUGGGAACGUGCCCCUUUGGUUCGGAACAACACAGGGAAACUUGUGCUAAUACCGGAUAAGCCCCCUUUCUUUAGCGAGGGAGGGGGGAAAGAUUUAUUGCCAUUGGAGCGGCCCGCGUUGGAUUAGGUAGUUGGUGAGGUAAAAGGCUCACCAAGCCUGCGAUCCAUAGCUGGUCUGAGAGGAUGAUCAGCCACAUUGGGACUGAGACACGGCCCAAACUCC
rnacentral:rRNA from 1 species